UUUGUUUAUUGAAUACUCCAAUAUAAUAACACUCGCGAAUGUCUUCCGACUAACUUAAUGCGAUCAUCAACCACAAAACACCACUUCGUAUUAAUUAUUUGGAUUAUUCAAUGAAGAAAGCAACUGUCCCGUUCCCGUUUCCCGCCAAAAAGCCGAGAGAGAGAGAGCGAGGAAUGUCAUUUGACAUUGACAUUACCUGCCAGUGUUGCAUAACGUAAAAAUAUGACAGUGCUUAAAAUCCUCAGAACAAUAACUAAAGCAUAGAAGGAAGGCUAAAAUAAGAAUUCAGAAACUAUAAACCGGCUCUCUUCUAGCUUACGACACAAACUAUGAGUGAGAAAAGGACAAAUGAUUCGCUCUUUGCUUCAUUUUUUCCGAGGUUGUCACAACAUGAAAUGUCAUUUGGACCUAUUGGACUCAUUUUAACUCGGCCAAAUACAUAGUAACAUACAUAAGAAGAUUUUACUUAUAUUUACCGAACUAUUUGACACGGUCGCGUCAACUGUGUUUACGAGUGUCUUGUGUUCAGAUUGUUUUAAGUGAUAAUUUAACAAUAUUUUUCCAAAUAAAUGGAAAGAAACUUUUAUUUAUAUCAAAUAAUUGAGUGUCUCGACUGUGUGACAUUAUGUCUUGUGUGGUAUGGGGCUGCAGCUCACAUUCAGGAAGAAAAGAAAAUAGCCAACAACUUCUGUCGUUUCAUCGAUAUUAAAUCCAAAAGUGUCGACUGGAUUUACAUGAAAAGUCAGUUCAAGAAGACGAGAUGAAAAAUUUAAAAGAAAAGCUGAACAAGUCCCGCCUCAAGAUCAAACGACUUAAUGAAAAAAA